rnacentral:rRNA from 1 species
GAUGAACGCUGGCGGCGUGCUUAACACAUGCAAGUCGAACGGAAAGGCUCCUGCUUGCAGGGGUACUCGAGUGGCGAACGGGUGAGUAACACGUGGGUGAUCUGCCCUGCACUUCGGGAUAAGCCUGGGAAACUGGGUCUAAUACCGGAUAGGACCACAUUUUGGAUGGUGUGGUGGAAAGUUUUUCGGUGUGGGAUGAGCUCGCGGCCUAUCAGCUUGUUGGUGGGGUAAUGGCCUACCAAGGCGUUGACGGGUAGCCGGCCUGAGAGGGUGUACGGCCACAUUGGGACUGAGAUACGGCCCAGACUCCUACGGGAGGCAGCAGUGGGGAAUAUUGCACAAUGGGCGGAAGCCUGAUGCAGCGACGCCGCGUGGGGGAUGACGGCCUUCGGGUUGUAAACUCCUUUCGCUAGGGACGAAGCGCAAGUGACGGUACCUGGAGAAGAAGCACCGGCUAACUACGUG